rnacentral:rRNA from 1 species
GGAUUAGAUACCCUGGUAGUCCACGCCGUAAACGAUGAUAACUAGCUGUCCGGGCUCAUAGAGCUUGGGUGGCGCAGCUAACGCAUUAAGUUAUCCGCCUGGGGAGUACGGUCGCAAGAUUAAAACUCAAAGGAAUUGACGGGGGCCUGCACAAGCGGUGGAGCAUGUGGUUUAAUUCGAAGCAACGCGCAGAACCUUACCAGCCUUUGACAUCCUAGGACGACUUCUGGAGACAGAUUUCUUCCCUUCGGGGACCUAGUGACAGGUGCUGCAUGGCUGUCGUCAGCUCGUGCCG